rnacentral:rRNA from 1 species
ACUAACAGGAUUCCCCUAGUAACUGCGAGUGAAGCGGGAAAAGCUCAAAUUUAAAAUCUGGCGGUCUUUGGCCGUCCGAGUUGUAAUCUAGAGAAGUAAUGCCCGUGCUGGACCGUGUAUAAGUCUCCUGGGAUGGGGCGUCAUAGAGGGUGAGAAUCCCGUCUCUGACAUGGACUACCAGUGCAUUGUGGUAUGCUCUCAAAGAGUCGAGUUGUUUGGGAAUGCAGCUCAAAAUGGGUGGUAAAUUCCAUCUAAAGCUAAAUAUUGGCGAGAGACCGAUAGCGAACAAGUACCGUGAGGGAAAGAUGAAAAGAACUUUGGAAAGAGAGUUAAACAGUACGUGAAAUUGCUGAAAGGGAAACGCUUGAAGUCAGUCGCGUUGGCCAGGAAUCAGCCUUGCUUUUUGCWUGGUGUACUUUCUGGUUGAUGGGUCAGCAUCAAUCUUGACUGCUGGAAAAGGGCCUGGGGAAUGUGGCAGCUUCGGCUGUGUUAUAGCCCCUGGUCGCAUACAGCGGUUGGGAUUGAGGAACUCAGCACGCCGCAAGGCCGGGUUUCGACCACGUUCGUGCUUAGGAUGCUGGCAUAAUGGCUUUAAGCGACCCGUCUUGAAACACGGACCAAGGAGUCUAACAUGCCUGCGAGUAUUUGGGUGGAAAACCCGAAUGCRCAAUGAAAGUGAAAGUUGAGAUCCCUGUCGUGGGGAGCAUCGACGCCCGGACCAGAACUUUUGGGACGGAUCCGCGGUGGAGCAUGUAUGUUGGGACCCGAAAGAUGGUGAACUAUGCCUGAAUAGGGUGAAGCCAGAGGAAACUCUGGUGGAGGCUCGUAGCGAUUCUGACGUGCAAAUCGAUCGUCAAAUUUGGGUAUAGGGGCGAAAGACUAAUCG